rnacentral:tRNA from 1 species
GCAUAUAGCUCAGUUGGUAGAGUGUUUGCCUCACAUGCACAAGGCCCUGGAUUCAAUUCCCAGCAACA